GCCCCUAUAGAUCAGUGGUAGAUCGUUUCACUUGUAUCCUGUACGAGUUAUGAAAAGGUCCGUCGUUCAAUCCAGCGUGGGGGCA